rnacentral:rRNA from 1 species
GGCGUCUAAUACUGGAUAUGAGCCUUCAUCGCAUGGUGGGGGUUGGAAAGAUUUUUUGGUCUGGGAUGGGCUCGCGGCCUAUCAGCUUGUUGGUGAGGUAAUGGCUCACCAAGGCGUCGACGGGUAGCCGGCCUGAGAGGGUGACCGGCCACACUGGGACUGAGACACGGCCCAGACUCCUACGGGAGGCAGCAGUGGGGAAUAUUGCACAAUGGGCGAAAGCCUGAUGCAGCAACGCCGCGUGAGGGAUGACGGCCUUCGGGUUGUAAACCUCUUUUAGCAGGGAAGAAGCGAAAGUGACGGUACCUGCAGAAAAAGCGCCGGCUAACUACGUGCCAGCAGCCGCGGUAAUACGUAGGGCGCAAGCGUUAUCCGGAAUUAUUGGGCGUAAAGAGCUCGUAGGCGGUUUGUCGCGUCUGCUGUGAAAUCCCGAGGCUCAACCUCGGGCCUGCAGUGGGUACGGGCAGACUAGAGUGCGGUAGGGGAGAUUGGAAUUCCUGGUGUAGCGGUGGAAUGCGCAGAUAUCAGGAGGAACACCGAUGGCGAAGGCAGAUCUCUGGGC